rnacentral:lncRNA from 1 species
UGAGAAUUAUGGUCUGUUUGUCUCUUUUUUUUAACCUCUUAACCAGAAAAGCUCAGCUGCAGUGUAGCAUCUGUAUUUUGCAACAUGAUCUUGCUUAUUUUUAUCUUAUUGCCUGAACCCUGUCCAAGUCAUAAAGAGAAUCUGAAUCUCAGAUACUAUCAGCCACCACCUGACUCCUAGUAUAUUCUCUUACAUUAGCAAGGAGUGAGGAAAGCAACAAAUGUAGUACCAUUAGCUCUCAUUAUUGAGGUAGCAUCCCAGGCCAGUUUUGGGGUAGAGCAAUGAGGGCAGCAGCAGGAGACAUGAAGCUGAGUUAGGCAGAUCAAGCAACUUCACCUAUAAGUAGACAGUUUUGUUGCUCAGGGCUUCAAGUUGGGCAUUACAGCUCAGAUGCCACAGCAGCUGUUUGAAUCCACUGUGCUGGCAGCCCAUGGCUCUGCUUCCCAUCAGAGAACACAGACUGCAGUGUCAACAAUAAGGAAAAAAGUGAUUAAAUGAGGAGGAAAACUGUACAAAAUGAUGUCAGAGGUUCUUCAUUCCAGCACAGCUGACAUGACUCAGUCCUACAGAAAGAGCUGUAUCCCAGCUCUUCUCCCAGGGAGGGCCUGCAACUCUUCACUGUUCACAGGUUACAGCUUAGAUUUUCUCUCAUGGAUUUGUGUGUGCAAUGUAAUACCAGCUUUUCGAAUUGACAAAUGGGUUUUCUACACACUUGCAUUCAGAAGACUCUUUUCUCUCCUACUCUGCCCAACAUACAGAUCUCAACAAAGUACUGGGAAAGGAUUUGACAAGAAGUAG